rnacentral:rRNA from 1 species
GCUAGCGUUGCUCGGAAUUACUGGGCGUAAAGCGCACGUAGGCGGCUUCUUAAGUCGGAGGUGAAAUCCUGGAGCUCAACUCCAGAACUGCCUUCGAUACUGGGAAGCUCGAGUCCGGGAGAGGUGAGUGGAACUGCGAGUGUAGAGGUGAAAUUCGUAGAUAUUCGCAAGAACACCAGUGGCGAAGGCGGCUCACUGGCCCGGUACUGACGCUGAGGUGCGAAAGCGUGGGGAGCAAACAGG